rnacentral:rRNA from 1 species
UACGAAGGGGGGCUAGCGUUGCUCGGAAUCACUGGGCGUAAAGGGUGCGUAGGCGGAUCGUUAAGUCGGGGGUGGAAAUCCUGGAGCUCAACUCCAGAACUGCCUUUGAUACUGAGGAUCUUGAGUUCGGGGAGAGGUGAGUGGAACUGCGAGUGUAGAGGUGAAAUUCGUAGAUAUUCGCAAGAACACCAGUGGCGAAGGCGGCUCACUGGCCCGGUACUGACGCUGAGGUGCGGAAAGCGUUGGGGGAGCAAACAGGG